AUGCUCACUUCGUCAGCACAUAUACUAAAAUUGGAAAAAUACAGCGAUUAGCCUGGCCCCUGUGCAAGGAUGACAUGCAAAUUUGUGAAGUAUUUUGUAUUUGU
ensembl:snRNA U6 U6 spliceosomal RNA